CCUACGGGAGGCAGCAGUCGAGAAUCAUUCACAAUGGGGGAAACCCUGAUGGUGCGACGCCGCGUGGGGGAAUGAAGGUCUUCGGAUUGUAAACCCCUGUCAUGUGGGAGCAAAUUAAAAAGAUAGUACCACAAGAGGAAGAGACGGCUAACUCUGUGCCAGCAGACGAGGUAAUACAGAGGUCUCAAGCGUUGUUCGGAACCACGGGGCGUAAAGCGUGCGUAGGCUGUUUCGUAAGUCGUGUGUGAAAGGCGCGGGCUCAACCCGCGGACGGCACAUGAUAGUGCGAGACUAGAGUAAUGGAGGGGGAACCGGAAUUCUCGGUGUAGCAGUGAAAUGCGUAGAUAUCGAGAGGAACACUCGUGGCGAAGGCGGGUUCCUGGACAUUAACUGACGCUGAGGCACGAAGGCCAGGGGAGCGAAAGGGAUUAGAUACCCCCGUAGUC
rnacentral:rRNA from 1 species